UACGUAGGGGGCAAGCGUUGUCCGGAUUUAUUGGGCGUAAAGGGUGCGUAGGUGGCGCUGUAAGUCGGGUGUGAAAUCCUGAGGCUUAACCUCGGAACUGCAUUCGAUACUGCGGUGCUUGAGGACUGGAGAGGAGACUGGAAUUCAUGGUGUAGCAGUGAAAUGCGUAGAGAUCAUGAGGAAGACCAGUGGCGAAGGCGGGUCUCUGGACAGUUCCUGACGCUGAGGCACGAAGGCCAGGGGAGCAAACGGG
rnacentral:rRNA from 1 species